rnacentral:rRNA from 1 species
GCAAGUCGAACGAGAAAGCACCUUCGGGUGUGAGUAUAGUGGCGAACGGGUGCGUAACGCGUAGGAAUCUACCCAGUAGCGGGGGACAACUCGGGGAAACUCGGGCUAAUACCGCAUACGCCCUACGGGGGAAAGGGGGCUUCGGCUCUCACUAUUGGAUGAGCCUGCGUCAGAUNANCUUGUUGGUAGGGUAAUGGCCUACCAAGGCGACGAUCUGUAGCUGGUCUGAGAGGAUGAUCAGCCACACUGGGACUGAGACACGGCCCAGACUCCUACGGGAGGCAGCAGUGGGGAAUAUUGGACAAUGGGGGAAACCCUGAUCCAGCAAUGCCGCGUGUGUGAAGAAGGCCUUCGGGUUGUAAAGCACUUUCAGCGGGGAAGAAAAGCCUAGGGUUAAUACCCCUGGGUCUUGACGUUAUCCGCAGAAGAAGCACCGGCUAACUCCGUGCCAGCA